CAAGAGACGUGCAAGAACAAUCAAUAUACUUUUAGGCUGCGUUUGGGAACUUGGAUUUGGACCCUGGAUUUAAAAUCCAGGGUAUUUCAAAUCCAAAUAUCUAGUUUGGAGUUUCAAUUAAGCUAAGAUUUCAAAUCAAAUUAUUUAAGAGAGGAGAAAUUGAAAUCCCAAAUACAGAUAUUUCAAAUCCUACACUGGCCCUUGUUAUUUACCAAAUCCCGAUCCCGACUCCUCUCUCUCAUUUCUUAUUCCCCUCGAUCCCGACUCUCUAAGUUCUAUCUCAACGCAACACAGGUAACCUCUACCUCUAUCUCUCCUCUCUCUCCCCUUCCCAUCUCUCGUCGAAACCCGAUCUAGGGUUUAGAUCUCCCCCUUUCUCCUCUCUCCUCGUUCCAUCGAAACCCUAGAUCUGAUCUCUCCCCCUCGUCGUGUGCUCCCUCUUCCUCGUCGAUGCGUUCGCUUUGUAGUCCGAUCACAAGGUACGCUGAGCUUUAACCCUAAUUUGCUUGAUCCGAUGCUGGGAUCUUGAUUUCGAGCUUUAAAUUUGUUUGGAUUGAGCAGUUGUUUCAUUAGAUCCGGGAUUGAAUAUGGAAUAAUUCCUCUUUUUUGGUUAAAAUUUGAGCUGUUAGGGUUAUGCAGUGUUAGAUUUGUUAAAUUUGACCAGUCUUUUUGUUGUAUUAGUGGAGAAUUAUGUCAAAGUUUUCAUUUUUAAGAAGCAUCACUAUUAAAUCAUGCACCUUUACUGGCAUUUUCAUUUCUAAGACUGUGGGCAAGAAGAAAUUUCAAGAAAAAUGUUUGAACUUGGUCGUUGUCUCGUUGAUGCUUCAUGGUCGAUGUGUUGUAAGGUAAAAGGGAGAUAGUCAAGAGGGCUUGAUCAUUCUAGUGAGUAGUCUGAUUUCUAUACGCAUCCACCUUAAAAGAAUGAUAUUGCAUCCAACACACCUUAAGACAAAGACCCAUCCAUCCAAAUAGUAGACAAGUUUAAAGUUAUAGACCUUAUAGUUAUCUACAUUCUCGAAGAAGGCAUUGUUCUUACAAUAAUAGUGUCUGAUAUCAUUACUCCAAAUUAACAAUUAGUUGGAAUCCUAAGGUCUUACAGUUUUCAGAGUUUUAUGAGGGCGCACGCUGUUGCCAUUAGGCAUUGGAAAUAUUUACAAAUAGAAUUGAAGGAUGGAAGAGAUAUGGCAGUCCAAUGAUGGGUUUUAUUAGCUAAUGCAAAAACAAUGAUCAUGAGAGGAUCCUCAAUGACCAUUUCAAGCACUUGUUAGUGUUGAACUCCGCUAUGUUUUUAAGGUAGAUUUUAGGUUUUAUCAGACUGGACAUCUCCAUUUCAAUGACCAAAUAAUGUUGAUAGCAAUAUUGUAUCAUGCAUCUUUUCUAGUGCAUUUUGACAAUAGAGCUUUGUAAUUAGUUUUGCAAGUAUCUGAACUAAAUGUGACUCGAUAAUGUACACUCUAUUGACAAAUUUAAUUUGUAGUCUAAAUAUGGGGCUCAAAGUGGCCCAAAUGUAUGCAUUUACUCCAAACUGACAAUGAGUUAGUAUAUAAACUGACAAUGUUUAGAUAAUACUCAAUUUGGCUUGGUAGAAUUCUUCAUGAUUUGUUAUUACAAGUUACUUUAUUUAUUGUUGAGUAUGAUAUAUCAGUGCAGUCAUGAGCAAUAAUUUUUCUAAGGGUUUGCAAUAAAAGGAAAAAAAGGCAUAAGGUAGUAAACUGCAUUUAUUGCUUGUAUAGCAUUUACUAUUUAGUUUUUCUUUCUACGACAUUAAUUUGAGAAAGCACUUGUAAUGUGUGUAAGAGCAAUGUUAAAUGUAGCCAUCAUCAACUCAGGGCUAUUGUCAACGUUAGCACAAUAAAAGCCUCAAUAACAAACAAAUCCUUCAUUGAUAGUCUAAACAAUAGUCAGCAUUAGCUAUAUUUUUUUGAACACAAUCACUUUGUUUGUAUUUUGGUCAAGUAAAUUGCAUGCUUCUGACAAUGUUGUUCAAUGUUGUUCGUGAAUAUGUAUGCUAGCAAAUCUUGAAGGCUUGGUGUAGAAAGGAUCCUUGUUGAGAGAACGUAGCUCUAGUUCUUCUGUGACUUAAAUUUGCACGUCCAUGGUUUGAGCUUAUUACUCUUGCACAUUUACUAAAUUUCUCGAUAAUUUCUAUGUUAAGUUUUGUUCAAGAAAUAGUUGUCACUUGUCAUAAACAGCUUUGCGUUAAUGACUAUCGUAUCAGUUACAAAGAAAACCCUAAUGUACAUAUUUCAUAUCAAAACUUUGGGGUAUAUAGACGUGAUAAUUUUUUUGAUCAAGUAGCGUUCCCCAAUACUUUGGUUCUUCUAAACACUAUAAUGCCUUUUUUUUAACUGCCUUGAUGCAGUUUGUCUUGGCCCACUCCUGGCCCUUUUUUAUAUUCUGAAAAACUUUUACCUUUUGUUAAAUUUAUUGUUGGCAUAGCUCAAAAUGGCUAGCUCCAUCGGAAAUAACUUGAUUUGUUAUUGGCAACAAGGUUUUUGUCAUCAGUGAGUGGAUUUUCCAAGAAAAGUGGAAUAUAAUCAUGACAUUUAACUAACAGGUUUUGGAACUAGGCAUUGUGGUUCACUCAGUGAUCAUUGGCAUCUCCUUGGGCACCUCACAGAGCUCCUCAACAGUAAAACCCUUGUUAGGUGCAUUGAGCUUCCACCAAUUCUUUGACUAGAGGAAGGAAGGAUUAUCUCGUCGGAUUUUGCCCUGCAGGUAGAUAAAUCUGCAUCAUCUAAAGUUACCGUAGCAUACUAUCAUGUGAAAAUUUUAUGUACCGCGCAUUUUUGAGUUUUCAAAUUUAUCCUGUAAUCAGAUUUGUUUCAUUUCCAUUUCAUGCAGAAUAGUAUUUAAAAAAUCUAAUUAAACUUCCAAUAUUAUAGUGCACAGAUAGACUCAACUCAAAUAAAGAAGCUCCCCUUUUCAUCUAAACUAGCAAAAUCUAGCCAUCCAGCUUUCAUUUUGUUGUUAUAUCAUUGUUUGCUUCAUUUUGCUGUAAUAUCGAAAUUUGCUUUUAUGAGUUACUGGACUUCUUGUGUUUCAUUGGAUAUCUAUGCGGUUGGUUUAAUAUAUUAGCAUUAAGGACAUUUGUCUUUAUAAUUAAUUGAGCGUUAUUUCCUCCUAAGUGUUGAACUAUGUCACUUAUAAGGUUUGUUUAUGAUUUAUAUCUUGGUCUGUUCUGACAUGUUUAUACUUACUUGCUUGUGAUGCACAUAAUGUUGGGGUUAUUGUCAACCCAAAGGGGGAAAUGAAAGGUAUGUCUACACCCUUUUCCCAUGGAUUAUCCUUUUUUUAACUAUCUCAGCAUCAGACUCUAUUUUGUACAUGCAUUGUUGUUUGUAGUGAAAACUAUAAUGCAUAAAUUUGUUUUUGCUUCUUUAUUUAAUAUUAUAUCAAUCUAUGUUUUCUGCUUCUUCAGGAUCUGUAAUUACUGGACCAAUUGGAAAGGAGUGUGCUGAUUUGUGGCCUAGGAUUGCUAGUGCAGCCAAUGCCAUUGUGUAAUAUCUAGAUUUUUCUUCAGGUGUCAGUGAGGAGUAGUAGUUUCAUGUUAUUAUUAUUGAAAAAAAAGGGAGUUUUUUUUAAAUAUGGGUCCAUAUUUGUAUUGGUGGUUUUUGUUUUCCCGUGACAUACAUAUAUUGGAAUUGAUAUUCUGGGAUCCAGCUGAUGGUAA